CAAAAGCUGAGACAGCAACCACCUGUUGGAUGAUUUACAGGCUCUAAGAAGGCCCCUCAGCCCUCAAAUAUUCCCACCCCAACCUGCCACUGGGCUGGGAUUUCCACCAAGAGAGAAAUAACCCUCAGCUUUCAAGCCUUGCCUCUCCACAAGACCUCUGUGAAAAUGUCAACAUGGCAGCACGUUCAAACAUUAUCCAUCAUUUUGGCUCCAGAUGGAAUUAAUUUAUCAGACUACUUUCUACUAUGACAGCCAGCCUCAGGAGCCAUGAAGAAGCUGUGUUUGGAAAAGGGGACUGCAAGAAGCAGAUUGGGGUUUUUCUGAGCCUGCUAUUGAACACGUGAGGAACCUGGGUCUCAAGCAUUUCAUCGUGGCUAACAGAAGAAUCUCUGAAGCCACAGUACCUGGACUCCAGCUCCAGGGCCACUUACCAGCCAUUUGACUUUGGCUUUGACAUCUGGGGCAUUGCUGACCCUGGAGGGACUGCCCCUCCCAAGGCUACCAACUCGUAGAGAU
rnacentral:lncRNA from 1 species